ACGCAAAUUCGAUGUGGUUUUGCUUUAUGUUUUUCUUCCCCUUUUUCUUUAUCUAUGUUUGAUGUUUGAAAUAAUUGUUGUAUAUUGAACCCUAGGGUAGAAAACAUGUCUAUAUCUGCCUGGGAUUUUUCUGGUUGUUUUGCAGGUGAGGGUUUGGGGUAUGCAUAUUCAUCCUCCCUUCACACACACACUUUAUGCAUAUCAUGAGUGAGGCCCUAUACUCGGGUCUGAGUGUAGCCUAGAAAUAGAGGGAUUGUGUAGCGGUGCCACUUGGGCCAUACUGCCUGUUUGGCUAUCGUGAGAACCCCAACUAGAGUUUGUUCUCUUCAUUUGUAUUUUCACACCUAGUUGAUUACUCGACUGUUGUGGAGAUGCUAUGGAGGGGGUCAUAGCUCUAGUAACCAUUGAUCUUUAGGCUUA
rnacentral:lncRNA from 1 species